UCUUAAGAGAGCUAGAAGCCAAACUUAGAGACACUCGGAAAGAGAUGGAGGUCCUGAAGUCACAGGUUCAAAGGAACAAGGUAGCAUUUGGAGCAUCUAUUAGUGCAGGUGGAAAUGUUGGACCUUUUAAUACUGAGAUCACACUGGUCUACAAAAGGGUCUAUAUGAACACAGGAUCAUUCAACCCGGCGACAGGUAUUUUUACGGCUCCUGUCAGAGGAGUCUAUUACUUCAGCUUCUCUGGACAUAAUAUAUAAUCUAAACCAAUGGGCCUGCGACUGAUGAAGAAUGGACAGCAGAUGGUCACUGUCUUCAACCAUGUUGCUGGGAACCGUUAUGAGACAGCAACCAAUGGGAUGACUCUGCAGCUUGAAGUUGGAGACCAGGUUUACAUAAGACUGCGUGGAAACACCUGGAUUUAUGACAAUUCGAAUGAUCACAGCACAUUUAUUGGCCAUUUAUUAUUCUCUCUGUAAGGUUCCUGCAAAAGAAUGAAAGCUAACAUACACAUGAAAUUGAUUUUAUUUUGGUGAUAAUAUUCAGUGGUAAUACGUACUGAUGGGGAGAGAUAGCAGGGUAAAAUUAGAAGCUGUGUGCGGUAUGUCUUAAAUGUGAGGCGAUCUGAUGUAUGUAAUUAAAUAAAUACAUUUUACCAUCAUAUUUGACCAAUUACAAUCUAAUAAAGACACAUAUUUUUUUCAUUGGAAAAACCUGUUUCAUUCUUUGAAAAACCAUUUGUGGUGAAGCUCCUUUCGGUUUUACACAAGGAUGUGAAAACAUAUUUUUCUAAAUUGUCUCAAAAGUUGUAAAAAA